GAGGCUCCCGUGUUGAAGUCUCCCGCAACAGCGAUAGGGUUCCCCUUAUCCUCACCUACCAUCCCACCAGCAUCCACAUUCAGAACAUCAUCAGAUGCUAUUUCCGCCACCUCCAGCGAGAUGCCACCACCAGACACACAUUCCUCUCCCCUCCUUUGUCUGCCUUCCGCAGGGACCGUUCCCUCUGGGACAUCCUGGUCCACACCUCCUUCACCCCCAACACAUCCCCACAGCCCUAUGGCACCUUCCCCUGUAACCGGCAAAGGUGCAACACCUGCCCAUUUACCUCCUCCCUCCCCAGUAUCCAAGGGCCCAAACAUACCUUCCAGGUGAAGCAACACUUCACCUGCACUUCCCAGAAUCUAGUCUACUGCAUUCGCUGCUCACAAUGUGGUCUCCUCUACAUUGGGGAAACGAAGUGUCGACUUGGCGACCGCUUCGCAGAACAUCUACGUUCUGCUCGCAAAAAAGACCUUGAACUACCUUUUGCCUGCCACUUUAAUCACCACCCUGCUCCCUGGCCAACAUCUCUGUCUCUGGCUUGCUGCAGUGUUCCAGCGAAGCCCAACGCAAGCUGGAGGAACAACACCUCAUUUUCCGCUUGGGACCCUACAGCCCUCCGGACUCAAUAUUGAGUUCAAUAAUCUUAGAGCCUAAACUCUCCCAUGUCCCAGCCCCCUGUCCCACACACCAGGCCUUGUAACCACAUAGCCUGCCAUCACACACCCCGAGUUGUUUGUCACUAACAGUCCCCAUUAACAACUACUCACUCUCCCAGCCUGAUCGUUAGCAAGUGUUUUGUCUGUUCAAAUAUCUUUCUCUCUCUUUGGGGCUCUAUCCUUUACUCCCUACCCCACCCACCUCUCUAUUUUCUGCAUAUAAACUGACGUUUACCCAGCCAAUAUCAAUUGUGAGCAAGGGUCACCGGACCCGAAACGUUAACUCUGUUUUCCUUCACAGAUGCUGCCAGACCUGCUGAGCUUUUCCAGCAGCUUUGUUUUUGUUCCUGAUUUACAGCAUCUGCAGUUCUUUUGGUUUUUAUUCAGUAAUGGAUGACUAGUCCAGUUACAUUGAGACAACGCCACCCUCUGCUGGGACAGGAAUUUUCAACUUUAGUGAACAAAAGGAGGCCAUGUUCCAGAGAAACUGGAAUUAUCUAUUCAGAAUUUCCAAUCUGAACUGACAGGAAUGACUUUUGUAAAACUGCCUCACAGGAUUUUUGGGAGAAGAUAUAAAUGUGAAAAGAAACAAUCAUCCAUAAAUUUGUGUGUGGAUGAUACUUGCAUUAAUCAAUCAUCCUGGACAGGCAUGAGGACACUAACACCAUGAGGAAAACAUGGAAAUGUGGAGAGUGGGGAAGAGAUUUAAUUACUCAUCCCAGUUUGAAAUUCAUCAAUGCAGUCACGCUCGAGAGAGGCUGUUUACCUGUUGUACAUGUGGGAAGGAAUUCAAAGUGUUAUCCAGCCUCCAGAAACACCUGAGAAGAAACUGUUUAGCUGCUGCUCUUGUGGAAAGAGUUUUGGGCAGUCAGUCAACCUUACUGCACAGCAACAAGUUCACAGUGAUGAGAGGCUGUUUAUCUGUCCUGUGUGAGGGAAGGGAUUUGUUCGUACAUCAAACUUGCUGGGACACCAGUGAGUUCACACUGGAGAGAAAUUGUUUACCUGCUCAGAGCAUGGGAAGAUAUUCACAUAGUCCCACAGCCUGCUGAUAUAUCAAAUUCAUACUGGCAAGAGUGUGGAAAAGGAUUCACUCAGUCUGUUCACCUGCUGACACAUCAGUGAGUUCACACUAAGGAGAGGCCAUUCACCUGCUCUGAGAAUGACAAGAAAUGCAGUCAGUUUUCCCAUAUGCUCAGCUCUUCCAAUACAGUCACAACAUUGCCAUCUACCCAACAAUCUGGAAAAUUGCCAGGAUAUGUCCUGCACACAAAUAGCAGGACAAAUCUAACCCAGCCAUUAAUUUCCCUAACAGUAUACUGUCGAGCAUCAGUAAAGUGAUGGAACACGUCAUCACCAGUGCUAUUGAGUAGCACCUGCUCAGUGACACCCAGUUUGGGUUCUGCCAGGGCCACUCAGCUCCUGACCUCUUUCCAGUCUUGUUUCAAACAUGGACAAAAGAGCUGAAUUCUAGAGCUGUCGUGAAAACACAUUUUGUUGUUUACUCUGGAUAGUAAAGAUUUCUUCAGAGUUCCUGAAUCAGCUAAGCCAUUAGCAACUUCCGAACUCCUGGCCUUCAAAAUUCCAGCCUCGGACCUCACGACUUCUGAACUCCUGGCUUCAGAACUCUUGGCCUUGGAUCUCACGGCCUCCGAGUUGCAGCCUUGGAACUCUCAGCCUCAGCACAGACCCGACGAGGGUCCUCUUGGCGUGUUAUGGCAGUCUGCUGGCCCAGCAUGGCUUCGGCGUGAACUUCCAUCUCCAGGUGAUUCCAGAACAUUCUCCUGGCCUUAUGAACCCUGAGCUGAAGCCAGGUGAUGUCUGGAGUCAAGACCCAGUGCAGACUGGAGGCUGAGUGCCAGCAUGGACUGCGUCGGAAGACCGUUGUUCUGAACUUUUUUCUCCAUUUUAUAAUUUAUUCCUAUAAUCUGCAGUGCUGGACUUUGCUUUUUAACCUCUAUUCUUCCAAAAAACUGUAACUGAGAAAGCUGUACUUGGGGACCUUUGUACUAGGAUGGUGCUGUAAGCGGCGACUUGUGCACUUAAGGGUCACUAGACCCAAAACAUUAGAUCUGAUUUUGCUUCACAGAUGCUGCCAGACUUGUUGAGCUUUUCCGGCAACUUCUGUUUUUGUUUCUAAUUGACAGCAUCCGUAUUUCUGUUGGCUUUUAUUUAGCGUUUCACUGUAUUUAUUUGAGUACAUGGGAUAAUAUAGCUAAUUCUAAUUCUGAUAGAAAAGAUCUGAGUGAUUCAAUGGCCCCUUCCUGUUCCUAUAUUCCAAAUAAACCAGGACCCAAAUACAACUGAUGAACAGAAAGGCAUGGCAGAGCUGGGGAUCAGACACAACAACGGGAAACCAGACCUUGGGGAAAGUCUGGGUAGAAUGUACAGAACAACUGGAGUAGGUCAUUCAGCCCUUUGGGACUGCUCAGCAUUGCAAUUUGAUGCAGACUAUAGGGCAAAUAAUCUCCUCUUUUCAGGCUGGAGUACCUUUCCCCAUGUCCUUACCCCACCCCCACACACCAGGCCUUACACUGGGCCUGGUGAUCACAUGGGCUGGUAUCACAAACAACCCAUUGUCUUUGACUAUUAGUCCCCAUUAGCAGCUGUUUUAUUUCACUCCUUCAUUGCUGAUCAACACUGAUUGCUCAUCCUUGAUUGUUCUUGAGAAGGUAGUGGUGAGCUGUCUUCUUGAACUGUUGGAAGUGAUAUAUUCUCUCCAAAGUAUGUCAUCACAGGACCCUCCUCUUCCAGGACCUCAGCAGUUUCCUAGUGCAAGCACUUCUCUUUGUGAUAAGCCAGAUCAUUGGUGAAACAAAAGCAGAAAUUACUGGAAAAUUUCAGCAGGUUUGGCAGCAUCUGUAGUCAGGGUCUGGAAGUCACUAUCUGAAAGGGGAGUGGAAGCAGAAACCCUGAACACAUUUAAAAGGUGUCUGGAUCUGCAGCUCGAGUGCUGGAACCUGUAGGGCUACAGACACAAUGUCAGAACGUGGGUGAGGCUGGGUAGAUGUUUGUUUUUUGGCCCGCGCAGACACAUUGAGAAGUGUUCUCUUCCUGUGCUGUAAACUUUCUGUAAAUCUAUGAACGGAUUCACACGGAUUAAAAAGAAUACUUUAAA